rnacentral:rRNA from 1 species
AGAGUGAACGCUGGCGGUAGGCCUAACACAUGCAAGUCGAACGGCAGCACAGGAGAGCUUGCUCUCUGGGUGGCGAGUGGCGGACGGGUGAGGAAUACAUCGGAAUCUACCUUUUCGUGGGGGAUAACGUAGGGAAACUUACGCUAAUACCGCAUAAGACCUUCGGGUGAAAGGCCGGGGACCUUCGGGCCUGGCGCGGAUAGAUGAGCCGAUGUCGGAUUAGCUUGUUGGCGGGGUAAAAGCCCACAAGGCGACGAUCCGUAGCUGGUCUGAGAGGAUGAUCAGCCACACUGGAACUGAGACACGGUCCAGACU